rnacentral:rRNA from 1 species
UUCCUACGGGGGGCAGCAGUAGGGAAUUUUCGUCAAUGGGCGCAAGCCUGAACGAGCGAUGCCGCGUGAGUGAAGAAGGCCUUCGGGUCGUAAACCUCUGUCAGCAGGGAAGAACGGUCACUGUGCUAAUCAGCAGUGAAUUGACGGUACCUGCAAAGGAAGCACCGGCUAACUCCGUGCCAGCAGCCGCGGUAAUACGGAGGGUGCGAGCGUUAAUCGGAAUUACUGGGCGUAAAGCGCUCGUAGGCGGUAUGUCGAGUCAAGGGUGAAAUCCCCGCGCUCAACGUGGGAACUGCCUUUGAAAC